UAACUGUUGGAGGGGCUUCUGGAAAAAUACAAUAUUGCUCUUAAAAAGAAAUACAUGAAAGAACAUUUCUGCUUCUGCAUGUACAGUCAGUCAAUAUGACAUCUCAUAUUUUCUAAGAUUUAAAAGAAAGAUGGGGCAAAUGUGUAUGGGGAAUAGUGUCAUGAGAUGGAGUGGAAGAGCGGGUAGGUUACAGGUCAAGUAGGACCUGGUAGGUCAUGGUGAGAAGUUGAAAACUUAUUUUAAAUGCUAUGGGAAACUAUACAAAAUUUCCAAGAGAGUUAGUAACACAAGCUUGUUUUUCAAAAAUCACGCUGGCUGUUUUUGUAGUGCAUGGAUUGAAAGAGAUGGGCAAAUUCAAGUACAUGGCUGCUAAAUAUGUUCUCCAUGAUUUUCUUCAUCAGGUCAUUAGAAGAUGAUAAUAAUACAAACAAUUUUUGUUCAUGGUGGGGUGGACAGAAUAUGCCAUCCCAAGAUGUGAAAGAUGGCUGAACUGAAAACAAUUAAGAAGACACAGAUAUAGGAAAGCUCUCUGUACUCCAUCUAUUUGCCUAAAAGCAGAGCAUAGAUUUACAAGGGCAACCCCCUCACUCACCCCACCUUAUACCAAGGAGAAAAAGGUUAAUCGCCAAAGACAGCUUUACAUCUUUAUCGGUCUGGAGAUGGUCCCAGAGGGAAUCUACAUUAAGAAGCUCUACUAACUAACAUUUUUCUGCCAGUUAUUUGCCUUCUUCCAAGUUGCAGUCCUUAAAGGCUCAAAGUCCUUUUCCUUCGGUUACUUCUCUGAAACUUUAUUGCUCUUUG
rnacentral:lncRNA from 1 species